rnacentral:rRNA from 1 species
CGGCACGGGUGAGUAACACGUAUGGAACCUGCCCUAUGCAGGGGGAUAAGCGGAAGAAAUUCCGUCUAAUACCGCAUAACACCAUUUGGAGACAUCUCCAGGCGGUCAAAGGAGGCGACUCCGGCAUAGGAUGGCCAUGCGUCGCAUUAGCUAGUCGGCGGGGUAACGGCCCACCGAGGCGACGAUGCGUAGGGGUUCUGAGAGGAAGGUCCCCCACACUGGUACUGAGACACGGACCAGACUCCUACGGAAGGCAGCAG